CCACCUCGCCCUCUCCCUGCGCCGCCUCCGUGCCGCGCUGGCCGCGCUUGAGGCCGGCGACGUCCCCGCUGCGCUCCACAUCGCCUCCGCCUUGCAAGAGCCGCUCCACAACUAGAUCAGUCACGUAGUCUCUUCUUCCCAAGGUGUAUUUUACCGUGUUAAUGCUAUAUAAUUGUGCGGAAGUUGCUGACAGAAUGCUAAAGCAACUGGACAGGCCGAUGUCUCUUUUGGUAUUAACAGAAGAUAUGAAGAAACAAGGUGUUCGGAGGGAUAAAUAGUCUGUUGUUUUCUUUGGACCUUACUCUCAUUAGUGUAAUCUAUAUUUAUUUGAUUUCGAACUCAAAUCUAGAUCAUCAUAGUGCCUUUGUUUAUCCGGGAAUCAAAAGAUCUUGUUAGGUAUCUAGUUUACCACAUGAAAGAAGCUGGCACUCUUGAAAGGCUAGCAGUUCUUGUUUAUCCAUGAUGAAUUGGUGAUGUAUUGUAUUAUAAUUUGAUUGACGAAAGAAUGAUACUUCUGUUUUGAAUGUUAAUUAUUUUAUUUUUCAUUUUUCCCAGCAACUAUACUCGUUAUUACUUAUUUAAAAAACUCAUUAUUAUUACUUGUUUUAUUCAAUCUUAUGGUGUAGUAGUAGGCGAGCAAGCAAGCUACGAUGCGGGACAGUAGUAGUAGGCGAGCAAGCAAGUUACGAUGCGGGACAUGCGGGACUAACGUUACUACCCACAAA